AACGGGUGAGUAUCACGUGAGUAACCUUCCCUUAACUCUGGGAUAAGCCCGGGAAACUGGGUCUAAUACCGGAUACGACCAGUCCUCGCAUGGGGUGCUGGUGGAAAGAUUUAUCGGUUUUGGAUGGACUCGCGGCCUAUCAGCUUGUUGGUGAGGUAAAGGCUCACCAAGGCGAUGACGGGUAGCCGGCCUGAGAGGGUGACCGGCCACACUGGGACUGAGACACGGCCCAGACUCCUACGGGAGGCAGCAGUGGGGAAUAUUGCACAAUGGGCGAAAGCCUGAUGCAGCGACGCCGCGUGCGGGAUGACGGCCUUCGGGUUGUAAACCGCUUUCAGCAGGGAAGAAGCGAAAGUGACGGUACCUGCAGAAGAAGCGCCGGCUAACUACGUGCCAGCAGCCGCGGUAAUACGUAGGGCGCGAGCGUUAUCCGGAAUUAUUGGGCGUAAAGAGCUCGUAGGCGGUUUGUCACGUCUGCUGUGAAAGCCCGGGGCUCAACCCCGGGUGUGCAGUGGGUACGGGCAGACUAGAGUGCAGUAGGGGAGACUGGAAUUCCUGGUGUAGCGGUGAAAUGCGCAGAUAUCAGGAGGAACACCGAUGGCGAAGGCAGGUCUCUGGGCUGUUACUGACGCUGAGGAGCGAAAGCAUGGGGAGCGAACAGGAUUAGAUACCCUGGUAGUCCAUGCCGUAAACGUUGGGCACUAGGUGUGGGGAACAUUCCACGUUUUCCGCGCCGUAGCUAACGCAUUA
rnacentral:rRNA from 1 species